rnacentral:lncRNA from 1 species
UAGCAGUUCACAUUCAGAAUACUCACAAUAACCUCAGGUCCACACACAAGUGAUCAGACUGCCAGCAUUUCCUGCUAAUUUCUCUUCUCCAGAGGUGCUGAGAGACGUCAGAGAGACAGAGGAAUGAAUCAAAUAGAGGAUUUAUGAAGUGAUGGGAAAUGUAUGUUGACUCAUGGAGUAGCAAUGAGGAAAUAGGCAUUGGCACCAGGACUCUGUUGACAACAGGACUUCAGAUAGAAAUAUAAAUACCAGAUCAUCUGUUUCAAAAACUGUGUGGGUGACAACUCCAGUGCUCUAUCAUGGAAUAACAAAUAAGUUUCAGCUUAUGUGACACCUCACUCCAACAGUACUGGCUACUUUGAGUGCUGUGCUGAGAAGGCUGCUAAGUGCAGGAAAGUGGUUUCCAGCACAGCCUUCCAGCACUUCCUGCCUGCCGCACAUUGCCUCUUCUGUGGGUCUCUUCCCCUCAUGGAAUCAGAAUAUGCCUCUGAUUUGUUGAUGAUCAUUAAACCCAUAUCAUCUUUUAUUUUUGAAGUUUAAGGGCAAAAAAAGAGCUGAAAACUGUUAUCCUUUGAAUCCCUUUUACCCAGAAGAAAUAACAUAAGAAGGAACAUCUGGCCAGGGUAUUAACUCCUUUUAAAGAAUUAGCAAUGAGGAGAAAAACAAAAAUGAAAAAAAAUUUGUAAGACUUGGUAGAUGAGACUAAUGAGGGUGUAAAAAAUGCUGAAUGGAGCAGUUCUACCCCGUUUCAUAAUGGCACUAAGGAUUCUGACAGAAUAUCCAUUAGCAAUUCCUUUCUAAGAUAACUUAAUUUCCUGAUUAAACAUGUAUUUCUAAAUCAUAUUGACAUUUUAAGAGAGAAACAAAUAAUGGUGCCAAUUCUCUUGGGCACAGGGGAAAGAAAACCUCCUUUUUCUUUCUGGCCACAGUCACACAGCCUA